rnacentral:tRNA from 1 species
ACCGGCAUGGCGCGGUCAGUAGCGCACCGUCUGAUAAGACGGAGGUCAAUGGUGCAAAUCCAUUUGCUGGUACCA